GGUUGAUCCUGCCAGUAGUCAUAUGCUUGUCUCAAAGAUUAAGCCAUGCAUGUCUAAGUAUAAACAAGUUUGUACUGUGAAACUGCGAAUGGCUCAUUAAAUCAGUUAUAGUUUAUUUGAUGGUGCUUUGCUACAUGGAUAACUGUGGUAAUUCUAGAGCUAAUACAUGCAACAAAGCCCCGACUUCUGGAAGGGGUGUAUUUAUUAGAUAAAAAACCAACGCGGUUCGCCGCUCUAUUGGUGAUUCAUAAUAACUGCUCGAAUCGCAUGGCCUUGUGCCGGCGAUGCUUCAU
rnacentral:rRNA from 1 species